AAUAAAGUAAGCUAAAAUUUAAGCUGUUGGGUUCAUACCCCAAAAAUGAAUGUGUAAUUAUUCCUUUAUUA
rnacentral:tRNA from 1 species